rnacentral:misc_RNA from 1 species
GAUGAAGAACGUAGCGAAAUGCGAUACGUAAUGUGAAUUGCAGAAUUCAGUGAAUCAUCGAAUCUUUGAACACACAUUGCGCCUGCCAGCACUCUGGCAGGCAUGCCUGUUCGAGCGUCAUUUCAACCAUCAAGCCCUAGGCUUGCGUUGGAGCCCUGCGGCUGCCGCAGGCCCCUAAAAGCAGUGGCGGGCUCGCUAUCACACCGAGUGCAGUAGAUUACUCUUCGCUCAGGGCGUGUGGCGGGUUCCAGCCGUGAAACCCCCUACUUCUCAAGGUUGACCUCGGAUCAGGUAGGAAUACCCGCUGAACUUAAGCAUAUCAAUAAGCGGAGGA